CGAAUGCUGACAUAAGUAACGAUAAAGCGGGUGAAAAGCCCGCUCGCCGGAAGACCAAGGGUUCCUGUCCAACGUUAAUCGGGGCAGGGUGAGUCGACCCCUAAGGCGAGGCCGAAAGGCGUAGUCGAUGGGAAACAGGUUAAUAUUCCUGUACUUGGUGUUACUGCGAAGGGGGGACGGAGAAGGCUAUGUUGGCCGGGCGACGGUUGUCCCGGUUUAAGCGUGUAGGCUGGUUUUCCAGGCAAAUCCGGAAAAUCAAGGCUGAGGCGUGAUGACGAGGCACUACGGUGCUGAAGCAACAAAUGCCCUGCUUCCAGGAAAAGCCUCUAAGCAUCAGGUAACAUCAAAUCGUACCCCAAACCGACACAGGUGGUCAGGUAGAGAAUACCAAGGCGCUUGAGAGAACUCGGGUGAAGGAACUAGGCAAAAUGGUGCCGUAACUUCGGGAGAAGGCACGCUGAUAUGUAGGUGAAGUCCCUCGCGGAUGGAGCUGAAAUCAGUCGAAGAUACCAGCUGGCUGCAACUGUUUAUUAAAAACACAGCACUGUGCAAACACGAAAGUGGACGUAUACGGUGUGACGCCUGCCCGGUGCCGGAAGGUUAAUUGAUGGGGU
rnacentral:rRNA from 4 species